GACGAACGCUGGCGGCGUGCUUAACACAUGCAAGUCGAACGGAAAGGCCCUGCUUUUGUGGGGUGCUCGAGUGGCGAACGGGUGAGUAACACGUGAGUAACCUGCCCUUGACUUUGGGAUAACUUCAGGAAACUGGGGCUAAUACCGGAUAGGAGCUCCUGCUGCAUGGUGGGGGUUGGAAAGUUUCGGCGGUUGGGGAUGGACUCGCGGCUUAUCAGCUUGUUGGUGGGGUAGGGGCUUACCAAGGCUUUGACGGGUAGCCGGCCUGAGAGGGUGACCGGGCACAUUGGGACUAAGAUACGGCCCAGACGCCUACGGGAGGCAGCAGUGGGGAAUAUUGCGCAAUAGGGGGAAGCCUGAUGCAGCAACGUCGCGUGCGGGAUGACGGCCUUCGGGUUGUAAACCGCUUUCGCCUGUGACGAAGCGUGAGUGACGGUAAUGGGUAAAGAAGCACCGGCUAACUACGUG
rnacentral:rRNA from 1 species